GUGUUGCUGCUGAAGCUGAAUGGAGUGGUAUUUUUUUAAGCAAUAAUAUUGACUUCAGUCUAAUAUCUGCUGCUACUUGCUUCAGCAGUUUCACUUGCUGCCACAGAGGCAGCAGCGCCUGUUUGCAUGAACUUUCUUUAGAAUCUGAUAAACACAGAACAAAGUGGAAACGUAUGAUUUGACUUUUCAAGUGUACAUAUGGUGCACUUGUGAGAAAGGGUACAGUAAUUUGAGGGUGCACAAUGAGCACCUUCAAAUCAGUGCCAUUGUUUUACUGUGCAGUGAAAUAACAGCAUUUUUCACAACUUUGUGUGUCAGUUUAAAAGUUGUAAAUCACUGUUCAUUUGCAGGAGCCAUGCCCGAUUCUAUCACUAAAACCUAUAGUCCUCAUCAAAAAAACUGAUCAGUACUGGGUGAUCUUUGGUUUCCUUAGUUUUUGCACUUAUUCGUCAAAUUCAUUGACAUAGGUUUCAAUUUUAUGUUGCUGGAACCGAGGGAACCCGUCUGUUACCACCAGUGCCUGUUCAGCCACCAGAUGAUCACCAACACGUGCACGCAGCAAGCUUUGCACCGUAAGCCACACAAAAGGUUCCAACCCUCAUGGAUCUAGUCCAGGACAAGCAUGAACUUUCCGGGCCAUAAUUCCUGUCCUGGGUGAAACAAGCCUACACAGAGAAGGACAUUUUGAAUAUAGAGUCCUCAACGCGGCUGCAAGCACAUUCACCUAUGUGGAUGCAAUACAGGGAAGCCAUGGUGACGCUUCCGAAUGCGCAUAUGUACUUGUAUAAAAAACAAGAGAAAAUCAGAUUCUGUCGUCUAGCCAGAAGCACGAAGAGUUCAAGAUGAAAAACCUUUCCAUCGGUAUCGUUGUCGUGCUGGUGCUAUGUGCCAUAAUCCGCUCCGAAUACGUCGACGGAGAAGUUGCGCAGCCGACAGGUAAGCCCGCCAACGGACUCGGAGGACCAGAAGGAAUAAACCUGAAUCUGCCAAAACAUGAGGAACGAGGGUGUGUAGUUGUUGAAGCGCGAGAAAGAGAGAAAGAGGCGCACGCAAAACGGCCAGGUCCGGGCCAUCCGAGUCCAUUUUUCCCUAGAGUAAAAAAGCACAAGAUCAGUCAAAGAACUAACUAUUCGCUCUAUGCCCCUGUGCGACCUUAAUUUCCGUUGAAAUAAAGAAGCACUCCCACUGCUGUUUGUUGCU